CGUUCGCCGGCGAGGGCCGGCGAGCUCGCUACCGGCGCUCUUCGUUGCCUGGCUCGCCGUGCGCCGGCCAGAUGUAUUGGGCGAUUAAACAGGGUGAUGUGGCCUGUGGAUAUUAUUAUGCAUGAUGCAAUGCAAUUUGGGAAGUGGCAUGUGAUAUGAUCUUCCAAGAAUUAAUGGCAAAGGACUGACUCAGAUAUAUCUGAAUUCUACUGCCACUACUCUGUUGCAAGUGUUGGUUCAUGUGAUUGAUUGCUCCCAUAUUCACCUGGGCCUAGGAGCUUGGCUGAUUUUUCACUCACAUCUCUUGUCUUAUUGGACGUUGUGGCGUUCGGCAUUUGUUUCCAACAGUUCAUUUCAAUCAUCUGAACAUCAAUGGAACUGUACACACUACACACAUAUGCUGCAGCUGCCUGUACUAAGCAGUCUUGCUGAUUCAGUUUCAAGAUCCCCUGGUGAUGAAACAUUUCAUAUUCAAAUUAAACCAACAUAUCCUUAAAAAAAUAUGUA